rnacentral:rRNA from 1 species
UACGGAGGGUGCGAGCGUUGUCCGGAAUCAUUGGGCGUAAAGGGCGCGUAGGUGGCCCGGUCAGUCUUUGGUGAAAGCGCGGGGCUCAACCCUGCGUCGGCCAGGGAUACUGCCGCGGCUCGAGCACUGUAGAGGCAGGCGGAAUUCCGGGUGUAGCGGUGAAAUGCGCAGAUAUCAGGAGGAACACCGGUGGCGAAGGCGGUGAUCUGGGCCGACACUGACGCUGUAGAGCGAAAGCGUGGGGAGCGAACAGG